rnacentral:rRNA from 1 species
GACUCAACACGGGGAAACUCACCAGGUCCAGACACAAUAAGGAUUGACAGAUUGAGAGCUCUUUCUUGAUUUUGUGGGUGGUGGUGCAUGGCCGUUCUUAGUUGGUGGAGUGAUUUGUCUGCUUAAUUGCGAUAACGAACGAGACCUUAACCUGCUAAAUAGCCAGGCCCGCUUUGGCGGGUCGCCGGCUUCUUAGAGGGACUAUCGGCUCAAGCCGAUGGAAGUUUGAGGCAAUAACAGGUCUGYGAUGCCCUUAGAUGUUCUGGGCCGCACGCGCGCUACACUGACAGAGCCAACGAGUUCAUUUCCUUGUCCGAAAGGUCUGG